ensembl:lncRNA LINC02864 long intergenic non-protein coding RNA 2864
CAAAGUGCUGGGAUUACAGGCGCGAGCCACCGCGCCCGACAGCAGUUAUGAAGUUCUAAAAGCAAGUCUUAAUCAGGAAGUGUCCUUGAUCACCAACGGCUCGCCCAGGCAUGCUGGCUCUCUUCCACUUCCACCUUCCACCAUGGGAUGACGCAGUAAGAAGGCCAUCAGUAGAUGCCAGUCCCUCAACCUUGAACUUUCCAGACGCAGAACUAAAAUUCACAAGAAGAGAGGAAAUACUGAGGAGAAAAUGGCAGAUUGUGUUUGCUGAAUUUGAUUGACGAAGAAGUCACCAUGAAAAUCACAGUGAACCAUUUGGAAAGCAAACUGCCAAAAAAUAAUAGUUAGUCAUGCUCUCAGGCUGGUAAUUGAAAGUUUUGUUCAAAUCGUACUUAAUAUUCAAUAAUUGUUUAACCAUACCACUGCUUAUCUUGGGAAUGCUGAUACUAUGGAGACAAUAAGAUAAGGUGGCUGCUGAAAAUCAGAUUUAGACACUACUUUGAUUAUAAUCAUUUUUUUUGUAUAUCCCAUGAAGGUAUUAUAUGUUAGUGGUUGUUCUAUGCUUAAUAUUUAUAUAGCAACAAAGAGUAAAUAAACUGCAAUUUAUACAUGUUAUAUUGUUGACCUAUGCUAAAAGUUAAUUACCAUAAUGAAAUGGUUUGGCUGUGUCCCCACCCAAAUCUCAUCUUGAACCCAUAAUCCCCAUGUGUCCUGCUGCUGGACCCAGUGGGAGGUAAUUGAAUCACAGGGGCAGUGUCUCCCACGCUGUUCUCAUGAUAGAGAGUUCUCAUGAGAUCUGAUGGUUUUAUAAGUGUCUGGCAUUUCCCUGCUUGUACUCAAUCUCUUGCCUGCCACCCUGAGAAAAGGUGCCUUCUGACAUGAUUGUAAGUUUCCUGAGGCCUCCCCAACCAUGUGAAACUGUGAGUCAAUUAAACCUCUUUUCUUUAUAAGUUACCCACUAUGAAGUAUUUCUUCACAGUAGCGUGAUAACUGAAUAAUACAUGUAACAAUUACAUGAACAAAUUAUUACAAGUUUGAGGUACAUCAGGUUUAAAUUAAGGAAAAAUGUUUAAAGAAUUUUCCUCCUCAAUGUUUCUUAGGGUCGAAGAGGCGUUUAUGUUUGUUUAUGAAUAGGUCCUCGAAGGUAAAACAUAGGCUUUAACAUUCUGAGGCCAAGGAUGGAGCUGUGUCUGAUUUAUAAAGUUUCAGACGCAGUAGAACAAUUGACAUGAGAAACUAGUCUUCCUCUGAGGCUGGUGAAGCUGCAGAUCAGCACACACUCAGACUUGGUACAGAGAAACAGACCAUUCUCCCAUUAGCCUUUGGUAUACUUCAGUCACCUGGGGUAGAGUGAUUUCUGUGAUUUCUAAACCUUCUGUCCUACUCAUCUUACAGGCCAUGUCCAUCCUCAGAACUCAUGCUUUCCUUUAUUGUAGCUUCUGUUCUACGACUCCUCUAAUACAUUUUUCUUAGGAGCUUCAUUGAGAUAUAAUUUAUAUCCCAUAACAUUCACAUUUGAAAUGUGGCAUCCAGUGUUUUUUAUUGUAGUCACAGACUUAUGCAACUAUCACAUCGAAUUUUAGAAUAUUUUCACCGCCCUCUGAAAAAAACUAAAUAACAAUUAGCAGUAGCUCCCCGUUUCUUUUCUCUGCCAAACCACUAGCAACUAUUAAUCUAUUUUCUGUCUUUAGCCAUUUGGCAUUCCGAACAUUUAAUACAAAUACGAUCAUUUAAUAUGUGGUCAUUUGUUAGUUUGUUUCUUUUUAAAAUAUGGGCUUUUUGACUGGCUUCUUUCACUUUGCAUAAUGCUUUCAAGGUUCAUCCAGAUUUUAGCAGGUACACAUACUUCAUUCCUUUUUUAUGCCUGAAUGAUAUUUUGUGGUAUUUUUUGCUGUUAUGAAUAAUUCACUGUUUGGCCACCGUAAAUAUGCAUGUAUAAGUCUUUUGGGGACAUGAUUUUAUUUUGGAGGAUAGAUACUUAGAUGUUGAAAUAUUGGUUCAUAUAAUAGAUCUGUGUUUAAAUAUUUGAGGAACACUUCUUGAUGGUAUUGUGACACAAAUCUAUUAUGCAUAUAUGUAUGUAUUUACAUUGAGUAUGCUUUUGGUGUAAUAUCUAUCAAAGGUUAUGAAGAUUUACUGUUAUAUUUUCUUCUAAGAAUUUACAAUUUUACCUC